rnacentral:lncRNA from 1 species
GAGCAGCGGGGCUGUUGAGCAGUCAGCUGGGUCAAGCUAGGAGGAGGAAUCCAAAGGGGGGAGAUGCAGGACCAUGAGAGACGAGGAGCGAAGAGAGCCAGAGGAUGGAGAUGGGCAGGUCAGCAAGUGGGUGGCCCAGGUGAGGCAAGGAGGGGGGAAGCUGAGGAGGGAGGUGUGGACAGGUUAGUAGGCAAGCAGUCCAAGCAAACUGCAGAGGUAGGCAAAGUCGGGGGUGUUGGGUGUGUGAAGUGUAAAGGGAGGGGCAAGGGGGUUGAUAAGAUGAGGGUUGGUGGGUAAAUGAGCUUGGCAAGUGAAGUGACCAGGAUCACAACCACUACUAAGUCCAUCUUUUAGGAGGUUCUUUGUAUGUUGCUCUUUUCUUUUUUUAAAAUUUGGCUUUAACUUAUCUUACCUCUUUGUACUUUACUUUAUUAUUAAGUUGCUUUGAGGAUUUUUUUUUUUUUUUUGUAUAAACAGUUGUGCCCAUUGAAAAGAUGCCUAAUAUGUUGCUGUUAAAGACACAGGAAUUCUGUCAGCGGGGGGUGGGGAGUUGGCCACUCAACUAAUAAUAAUAAUAACAACAACAACAACAACAACAACAACAACAACAACAACAAUAAUAAUAAUUUUAUUUAUUUAUUUAUACAUACAUACAUACAUACCCCGCUCAUCUGGCUACGUUUCCCCAGCCACUCUGAGCGGCUCCCAACUGAAUAUUAAAAACACGAUGCUAUGUGGCACAUAGCCUAGGGUUGCCAACUUUUAACCCAGCUGCUGCUGGCUAAUUGGUCAUCCUAGAAGUAUAUCUACAGCAUAAGAAGAGUUAAUAACACCAGUCACACCACUACUUUCUUCUUACCUGAAACAGAUCCUGCCUCACUUUGCCAGGGCUUUUGUUUGGUUUUGGUUUUUUGCAGAGAACAUUCCAGUUUCCUUAAAGCAAACAGUUGUCACUUGAUUUCUUUUCUCUCUCAUCCCUGCCAAACUCUCUGGUCAACAUUUUGUUUCCUGGUAACAGCUGAGACACAGAUAAACAUCUGACACAUUGCUGGCAUUGCAGCAGCAGCAGCUUCUAGUUCCACAGCAACAGACGUCCCUGAUAUCCGGUCUUGAGAAGAAUAUGAACAAGAAGGAAGAUAAAUAUUCCUGUCUUCCCACCCACAGAUUUCAUCCAAAAGUGAUAUAAUAGCAACCUUCAACUCAGGUGCAAUUCAUAGAUCUUAUCUGCUUGAUUUGAAGUAUUUGUCAGGAAGGUCUCUGCAACCUAGCAAUGAAUUUGCAAAUGUUAUACUCAACUGAAAAUACAAAAAUUGUGAGAUACAUUUGCUCCAAACAUUCAUUACAACUGUAUUCAGCCAAUUUCAUAGAUGCACAUUAUAGAAAUUGGAGGGGGGCGAGUAAAGAUAAUUGGUCCAAAUAAAUUAAUCUUGGCAUUUCAUUUGAAGUCUUUCCCUAAGAAUUAUAGCUUGCCUUUUUCACACCCGGCCUCUGUCUCAGUGACAUCUGUGUUGUGCAGUGCUGGCUGGUGAGUCAGCAGAGGUAUUUAAAGAUCACUUUUCUCUUUUUCUAGGUCACAGUGCUCCUUCUGAGAUCUAAACCAGACCUGCCACAGAUGUCAGUCGGCUUCUGCAUGGUAGCUUUUAUCUUUGUGAAGGCAAGAGGCUCUCUGGUUCUCGUGUGCUGGUCAGGGCCUGUGGACUUUGUCAAAAUACUGAUAUGCUACAUCUUUCCCUAGAACACAGCGCUCGUGACGGAAGGGGUAGAAAAGCGGUUAAGAGCAAGUUGGAAAUAGUUAUAAGUUUUGGAUUUGGGAACUGGCAAAACAACCUUGGGCACCUCUGGAGAUAUUUUGUACUCAGAUCAAAGCAUAUUCUAUGUACACCUCUUGACUUCCAUCCAGCGCCAGCAUUCCUCAGGAGAUAGGAACAUUUCUGGCAUUCUUUUGAAACCGGCAAGGAGUAGGCCAAUCUUCAUGUCCCCUUAGCAGAAUUUACUCUUUAUGGAGGUAGAAAAUAGAGAGUUGCACAUAGCCUUAACCUCUCAUGAAGAUAGAAAAAUUGGCUGUUUUUCUGUGUGCGCAAAGUAGCACCUUUCUACAUGUUGGUAUCACCAGGGCUGGGCCCCCCAGGAGGCAGACUGAAGCAGCCCCCUGGAGUGGCAGAAUCCCACGGUCAGCCUGCCUGGCCACCACUGAGCCGCAUGGUGGUUUCUGCCAAGAUCUUGUGAGCUCUGUGGAAGCCACAGCAGUGGUGCAACCAUAAUAAGCAAGGUUUGGGCAGGUGUGUGUGUGCCUGUGAUGGUGAACCAGAAUGGGCCACCCCUGGGUAUCAUGAUGGUGAAAACCUUAGAUACAUUUUAUCUGUGUUGGAACCAUACAUCCUUGAUUCUUCCUUUAUCAAUUUUUUAUUAAUACUCCUGAAGGCUGACAUUCAGUCCCCAAACUUACCUGACAAGAUUUGGCAGUGGAACAUGAGUGGUAAUAGCAAAUAAUAAGGUGCCCCUUUAGACAUGUGUGAACUCAGGACAUCUCCUUCUCCAUGGCGUAAUCAGGGUGUACUCUUAGAUUGGGAUGACUUGCCUUGAUCCAGCACCACCGAACCUCCCCACAAAAUAAUAAUAAUAAUAAUAAUAAUAAUAAUAAUAAUAAUAAUAAUAUGUUUAUAUGCUGCCCAUUUAACUGGGCUAUCCCAGCCACAAAAAUAUAAUCUAGCCUCCCUGCAAACAAAUCAGGAUGGAUAUUCAAUAAACAGGUUGUCUGGAAAUGCCCUAGGUUGAAAGAGUGGUUGGAAUAAUCAAGAAUGCCAGCUUUCUUCAGAUUCCCACCAUAUUUUAUGCUGACAGAUCUGAAAUGCAACACAGAGAGCCCCAACCUUCUUAAGUGAGAUGUUUGAAUCGGGGAGCAGAAGGCUACCAGAGGGUCUUUUCCAAUGGUUUCCUUCUGUGUCUACCUGCAAACCUAAUUUUCUCUAUUCUAGCACAUGCUAGAAUAACCUCAGCAGGGUGAGAAUGAUGUGUGUUGGCAUAGCUCUGUCUGCAUUGGGAGGCCCAUAGUCACUAUUCCUGGACCCAGCAGGCAGCAGGGAGAGGCAGCAGAACUGAGCUGGCUAGGUGGGAACUUCAGGAGCUGCCAGGUGGGAUGUCACUAAGGAGGCUUUCACUAUCUGAACGUGCAGACUGGUGGCUCUUGGUGAUACCAAAUCAGCUGUUGCUCUAAACUGCAUCUGGCACUGCAGUUGACCUUCCACAUAUUCCAUAUUCUGUCCACACUGGUGAUUGUGGCAUAUCACUCUUGUUGAGUUGGAAGGAAAUACCCAAUUCUGAACAUGCCAAUUUAAAAAUCCAUUUUUGAUCAAUUUUUAAAAGCUCACUAAUUUAAUUUGUGCUAAAGCGUUUUUAGGCAUUCUUGUGUAAAAACUUAAAACUGUGCUUAAAACUGUUUUGGUUUUGUUACUAACUAAAAGGCUGACUGGAAAGAUGGCUUAAAAAACAACAGCCUUGCACUGAAACCCCUUUUCAAUUGCAGAAACUCACACACACUUUAGUGCAAAUUAAAGACUGAUUAUAAAAAACCAUGCUGCUAAAAUGGCACAAACAAAAAAAAUGUAAUAGUGUAUGUGUACAAAAAUAAAUACAUAGCCACAGGCAAAUUAUUUCAUCAUGUAGACAGCAGCCUGUAAAAAAAAAUGAAGAAAGUGUUGGUAAUUCAGAAUAAACAGCAAGUUUGUGAAAGGAUUCUGCAUGCUGAGAUUUUUCAGAUUAUUUUGCUACCCUUCCUAGAAUCUCUUGCUUAUCUUCUACCAACCCCUCAGUGGCAGAGGAAGCCCCCCCCCUCCACCUGUGAUAAGAUUACAAAGCAGGGAGAGAAUUUUGCUCAGAAAAUCUGCCCCCUUGACCUG